AUGGCACCCAUGGGAUUCUGCUGUGCUGGGAUGCAGUUCUGUGCAUAGCACCGAGAUGUGAGCCCAUGGAAACCCUUUCUGUUGCCCAUCUCCGGUGCCAAACUGAGGGAGGCAGCCAUCGGAACCACUCUGAGUGGCUGUGAGAACACUGCCUUGGGGAGGCCCGACCCAGAGGCAGCCGGCCAGAAAAGGUGGGGAAGGACUCGAGGACGCCUUUACUUCCCUCGGUUGCCCGUUUCCCCAUCAGAACCACGGGGAAGGCAUCUCCUGGCCUCAUCUCCAGCAGCCGCUCUACAAUGUCAGAUUCCCUGUGGAUCAGAAGAAGACAAUGGCAAAGAGAAAACGUCAUCACCUGCUUCCUUGCUAAAUUCUGUGAACAAGGCAGGGCAAUGGUGAUCAAAGUGGCAUUCAGAAGCACCCAUAAUGCAAUUUUAAAACGUUUAUAUCAGAUCCAGACAUUGAAGAAGUUCCACGUAGUUCAAAAGUUCAAUCAAAUCCUUACUACUUAUUCAGAAGUAAGGCCAUGGAGAGCAGGGGGACAUACUCUGUAGGGUCUGAGCCUUCAAGUAAAAUAAAUGAAAUAGGCUGGAAAAGAUCUGGUCCAUCGCCCAGGUUUCUAAGAGAGUCUCCCACCACCAGGUGGGGCUGGAGACUUAAGUGGAUCAGCAUUAAGUUCAUGCUCUUCUGUAAAUAAAUGCAGCUGAGAGAUGCUGACAGAACAGAAGGAAAAAGGAGUAUUGCUUUCCUGCCCACAGCUUCCAAAAACUGAGGAUCAAGAAGGGGCGGCAUAGAAAUGUUAUAACAACAACAACAACAACAACAACAACAACCCAAGACCUUUUGCUGCUUCAAGUGAAGAGCUGGAAUGAUGUUCCCCUAUUCCAUGAAGCCAACCAGACGGAAGUUGAACAACUUCAACAGUGAUGAUGGGACAGCAGCUGAAGGAAGUACAUCAGCUUUGUGGGUACAGGGCGGGUUGCCUGACACAUCCAGCUUUGCCUUCCCGCAGGGGGAACAGUCAGGGGGGCUACUGUCUCCCCAACCCAGUCAUCUGCUGCCUGAGACAACUGCCUCAUUCUGCCUCAUAAUGGGGCCAGCCUAGGUUGCUAUUGUGAUGCAUUUAACUAUAUUCAGAUAGGAUAAAACAGAUUAGAGAGUUCAGCUAGUAAGGCAUUUAUAUCCCAGCUUUCAAAUAAAAGUCUAAGGCAGCUUACAAA